rnacentral:pre_miRNA from 1 species
UUAAUGCUAAUCGUGAUAGGGGUUUUUACCUCUGACUGACUCCUACAUAUUAGCAUUAACA